GACUCAAACUCCCUCUGUGCAAGUCCUGGCUGUGUUUCUUGCUACCGGCGUAAUGUGCUAUUUAAGCAGCAGUGCAUGUCUCCUCACAUUUGAAAAUAUUGAUUGGGUCUUGAAGACAGAAUAACAAGCGCCAGAACUCAAGCAUUUUGCCAGGAGUGGUGCUGCCUCAUCAGUACUUCAGAUCCAGGCAGGGAAACUGUCAGCAGAACUGCUCCAAAGUCUGCUUUGUGAAAUGCACAUAAGCGGUCUCCCAGACCCACUUUCCAUCCUUCUCCUUUCUGAGGAGGAGGUGGUUAGAAAAAAAAGAAGAAGACAACAAAAGAGUAGAUGAGAGAGAUGUGGCAAAAGAAGAGGCAGAAGAGAAGAGGCAAGAGAAGGAUUCUCCCACCCAUUGCUGUCUUUAGAGAUGCAGGCUAUGAGCCAAAAAGCACAGAUAGCUCCGGAAGCUGAGGACAAGCCACACUGCCCACACUCCCGCAACUGCCCAGAACUGAAUUUUGCCAAUUACCUGCAUAAAUCAGAAAAUGGAUGCUCACUAGAGUCUCCAGAAGGGAGCCUGGCUUGCUGACACCUAGAUUUUUGUCUUGUGAGACUGAUCAGAGGAAUUAUCCCAGCACACUUGACUUCUGAAAUUGUGAUAUAUCUAUGCCUGCAGAAACCCAU
rnacentral:lncRNA from 10 species